CUGACGUGAGACGUUCUGUUUCGCAAUCUACAUAUCUUCCCACGCGUAACAUGCGCUAUUGUAACGCCAAACGUGCAGCCUAUAAUAGGCGAACACUCGUUCGGUACUUCUACCUGCGCAAACAUAUUUCACCCAUUCCUAGAUGUCACCGUGGAUGAAGCGUGUCGUUGUUAUCGGCACUACUGUUACUCGUUAGUGUCAACAGGCACGCCAAAUCCUCGUUAUGGACAUGACGAUGUUACCGUUCCACUAUUCGAACUUUCGCUAAUCAGA